AAGCGAGUCGCGGGCGCUCCAAAAAUCCACGCACGAGCGUUUCGACACAGGAGUUUUAGUGUCCUUCAAAAAGUUACUAACAAAGAACAGGAACUUCAUCAUUCUUUGGAACGCCUAUGGUCUGAUUGUUAGCAUAUCUAACUCGGUGGGGGCAAUUUUGAAUCCGUUGUUCUUAACUCACUUCAAGGUAACGCUACUUCCGACUCUGCACGUUCCUGCAGUGCCCUCAGUUAUAUUUAACCGUCUUUCAGAACUGCGAAGUUGAUGUAGGAAUAAUGUUACUUUUGCUGUGCUUUGUGGGUACCAUAGGUUCGUUAAUAAUCGCAUCAAUUCUCGACAAAACGAAGAAAUUCAGAGUCAUCGCCAUCACCGUGAGCAUUUCGUCCUUAUUUUGCGAAAUACUUUUCGCUACGACCUUGAAUAUGGAAAUUAAAUGGAUGGUUUUUCUGUCAGCUUCGCUUUUCGGCAUUACUCUGCUCAGUUUCAGCGCGAUUGGAUUUGAAUUAUGCGCCGAAGCGACUUACCCCGAGUCUCAGGCACUAUCGACAGGAAUUUUGAGCACAGCGGGCCAAAUAUACGGAGCUUUCGUAACUCCUCUUAUCCUCAAGGUGAUAGACGUUUACGGUGACACGGCUGGACACGCGGUCAUUCUAGCAAUUCUCGGCCUAGGAACUCUGUUGACAAUAUCGAAUAAAAUCGAUCUGCGCAGGCAAAGAGCUGAAGAAUCUACCAUGCGAUAUAAUCCGCUGAGUCAAGGAGUAUUGCGUAAGAUUGACAAGUGAUAUUGAUUUUGUUAAUCUUCAUCCACGAUUCGAGUUUACUU